CCUACGGGGGGCAGCAGUGGGGAAUAUUGGACAAUGGGGGCAACCCUGAUCCAGCCAUGCCGCGUGUGUGAAGAAGGCCCUCGGGUUGUAAAGCACUUUCAGUGAGGAAGAACGCCUGGUGGUUAAUACCCAUCAGGAAAGACAUCACUCACAGAAGAAGCACCGGCUAACUCCGUGCCAGCAGCCGCGGUAAUACGGAGGGUGCGAGCGUUAAUCGGAAUUACUGGGCGUAAAGCGCGCGUAGGUGGCUUGAUAAGCCGGUUGUGAAAGCCCCGGGCUCAACCUGGGAACGGCAUCCGGAACUGUCAAGCUAGAGUGCAGGAUAGGAAGGUAGAAUUCCCGGUGUAGCGGUGAAAUGCGUAGAGAUCGGGAGGAAUACCAGUGGCGAAGGCGGCCUUCUGGACUGACACUGACACUGAGGUGCGAAAGCGUGGGUAGCAAACAGGAUUAGAUACCCUUGGAGUA
rnacentral:rRNA from 1 species